UCUGUUACAAAAACUUACUAUAACGGGAUUUGAUGAUCAAGAUAUAAUCAAAGUUUCUGUUAUCAACGUUAAUGACAAAUAUAUUCGUGUCAUGUGUUCAUCGUAAAUGGUAAUUACAUGUGAAAAAAAAUAGAAAAUACAUUGAAUUAUUAUAAACAAGUAUAGGAUUGCGAUAAUGGUAAGAUAAGGAGAUCACGCGCAAAAGAAAAAAAAAAUGAAAAUCUUGAUAAUUAAGCAAUCGAUGUCACGCGGACCUAAUCUUUAGUUGUAUGUCGGGACUUUUUUCAGAAAAGAAUUUUAUAUAUGUCGACGAAUCAUUUUCUUAAUAAAACUAGAGAACUAGUCAUUUAACAAUCUAUGUUAUAAACUUAUAAAUGAUCUUAAUCUUUUUUUAUAAAUGAUCUUAAUCAUUGUUUUUGUAUGGGGAUACAAGAUUUAGAGCAAUAACGAGUUCGUAUUACCGUGGA
rnacentral:lncRNA from 1 species